rnacentral:rRNA from 1 species
UACGAAGGGGGCUAGCGUUGUUCGGAAUUACUGGGCGUAAAGCGCGCGCAGGCGGCUAUCCAAGUCAGUGGUGAAAGCCCGGAGCUCAACUCCGGAACUGCCUUUAAGACUGCAUCGCUUGAAUCCGGGAGAGGUGAGUGGAAUUCCGAGUGUAGAGGUGAAAUUCGUAGAUAUUCGGAAGAACACCAGUGGCGAAGGCGGCUCACUGGACCGGUAUUGACGCUGAGGUGCGAAAGCGUGGGGAGCAAACAGG